rnacentral:rRNA from 1 species
ACUCUCGGCAACGGAUAUCUCGGCUCUCGCAUCGAUGAAGAACGUAGCAAAAUGCGAUACCUGGUGUGAAUUGCAGAAUCCCGCGAACCAUCGAGUUUUUGAACGCAAGUUGCGCCCGAAGCCUUCUAGCGGAGGGCACGUCUGCCUGGGCGUCACGCCAAAAGACACUCCCAACACCGCCCCCCCGCGGGGCGAGGGACGUGGCGUCUGGCCCCCCGCGCCGCAGGGCGAGGUGGGCCGAAGCAGGGGCUGCCGGCGAACCGCGCCGGGCGCAGCACGUGGUGGGCGACAUCAAGUUGUUCUCGGUGCAGCGUCCCGGCGCGCGGCCGGCCAUUCGGCCCUAAGGACCCAUCGAGCGACCGAGAUUGCCCUCGGACCGCGACCCCAGGUCAGUCGGGACUACCCGCUGAGUUUAAGCAUAUAAAUAAGCGGAGGAGAAGAAACUUACGAGGAUUCCCCUAGUAACGGCGAGCGAACCGGGAGCAGCCCAGCUUGAGAAUCGGGCGGCCUCGCCGCCCGAAUUGUAGUCUGGAGAGGCGUCCUCAGCGACGGACCGGGCCCAAGUUCUCUGGAAAGGGACGCCUGGGAGGGUGAGAGCCCCGUCCGGCCCGGACCCUGUCGCACCACGAGGCGCCGUCAAUGAGUCGGGUUGUUUGGGAAUGCAGCCCAAAUCGGGCGUUAAACUCCGUCCAAGGCUAAAUACAGGCGAGAGACCGAUAGCGAACAAGUACCGCGAGGGAAAGAUGAAAAGGACUUUGAAAAGAGAGUCAAAGAGUGCUUGAAAUUGCCGGGAGGGAAGCGGAUGGGGGCUGGCGACGCGCACCGGCCGUAUGCGGAACGGCUCCUGUUGGUCCGCUGAUCGGCUCGGGGCGUGGACCGUUGUCGCCCGCGCCGGUGGCCAAAGCCCGGGGGCCCUAGGCGCCCCCGGCAGCCGUCGUCGGCACGGACGGUAUCCGCGCGCCUCUGGCGCGCCCCUCGGGGCGCUGCGCCGCAACGGCCUGCGAGCUCCCCAUCCGACCCGUCUUGAAACACGGACCAAGGAGUCUGACAUGCGUGCGAGUCGACGGGUUCAGAAACCUGAGAUGCGCAAGGAAGCUGACGAGCGGGAGGCCCUCACGAGCCGCACCGCUGGCCGACCCUGAUCUUCUGUGAAGGGUUCGAGUUGGAGCACGCCUGUCGGGACCCGAAAGAUGGUGAACUAUGCCUGAGCGGGGCGAAGCCAGAGGAAACUCUGGUGGAGGCUCGAAGCGAUACUGACGUGCAAAUCGUUCGUCUGACUUUGGUAUAGGGGCGAAAGACUAAUCGAACCAUCUAGUAGCUGGUUCCCUCCGAAGUUUCCCUCAGGAUAGCUGGAGCCCACACGAGUUCUAUCGGGUAAAGCCAAUGAUUAGAGGCAUCGGGGGCACAACGCCCUCAACCUAUUCUCAAACUUUAAAUAGGUAGGACGGUGCGGCUGCUUCGGUGAGCCGUGCCACGGAAUCGGGAGCUCCAAGUGGGCCAUUUUUGGUAAGCAGAACUGGCGAUGCGGGAUGAACCGUGUCACACCCGGUUCCAGGGGGUAGAACCGAGCGCAUACCAUAUGUGUGCCAGGAUCCAUCUCCACACAUAUGUUGACGUCACAAGUGUAAUAUAUCAAAAGACAAUGCAAUAAAGGCGUAAAGAGAGUAUAAUACUUUAUUACAUCAUCUGAAACAUUGUAUCUUUAACAAGUAUCACAUCAAAGUAAAGCGGAAAUAAACAUCUGGGCAAUCUCCCACAGGAAGAUGACCGGCGCAUCGUUAGACUUAGAAAUCAUCGUCGUCGAUAAAAUCUCCAUCAAAGUCUCCAGCAUCACCCUCUGAUCAAAAUAUUAGCAAGGGUGAGCUCACUUAUGGUCGGGGCUCAGCAAGUGGGGGAAAAACUAAUGCAAGUAUAACAAGGUGAGGCUAAGUUUGAGCAGUAAGCAUUUUAGUUGGUCAACAUUUUAUUAACAUCACCUGUCUUACUAAUAAGUGUGAGUCCCAAAUAUCCCAUUUAAACAAAGGAAUAUGAAUAUAGCAAAAACACUUAAGUGAAACCACUUAAGCAAAUUAUUGGCAGAUCAUCGGAUCUCAAUUUAAUUCCAUCUUCAAGUUCAAUUAUCAUGUGAGGAGUCCAGGUCGCUCAUAACCGGGAGCACGGCUGAUAUAUCAGUUUUACACUCUGCAGAGGUGGUACAACUUUACCCACAAGCCAUGUAUCCCAUCUAGCCCGGGUUGAUCGGACCCUUAGACACUGCCGAGGUGAAUGGCUAGGGAUCCAUUAUGAGGUUUUCACAAAAUACGCUUAAUACAAAGCAACCCGCUAAGGUUUCUAAGACGAUGGUGGUGGCCCCCUGGGUGAAGUACCUUAGCCAAGAAUACGACCCCAUGUUAACGUGGGCUGUCAGCACCUACCGCUCCCCCUCUUGCCCAUCUUUCAGGUAAGGUUGCUAGGCACUAAGCAUAUAGAGGUAUUUACCAAAGCCAGAGCCAUGAUAGCACUCGUGGUUGCACUGUUAUCCUGGGUGGUCACUCCAUGUUCCAAUUAAAUUUGUAAUAAAGUUAUCUUAACCAUCGGGUUAAUGUCAUAUUUGCCAAUUAACAUUUUUGGAACAUUAAAACCAAUUAAAGAGUGACAUUAAGAAUCAUUAAGUUGAGCGGUAGCAUGAAUCUUGCACAGCUUAAUUAUUUUCCCAGGUUAAACAAGGAAUACAGAUAGUAAAUCUAGGAAAUCCUUAAUUAGGUGAAACCCAUCAAAUUAUGCAGUAUAUCAAAAAGGUAAACAUUAUUAUAUGCAGUGAAUAGGUACAAACAGAGUAUGCAGAGGGAGAAUCCACUUGCCUUGCUCAAGCGAGUCCUGCGGAAAGUCCUCGAACGAGUUCGGUUCGUCUACCGCACAGUCGGCUUCUAAUAGAGUCGCAUAGCGCACAUACAAAAAUAAAACAUACGCCAAUAAAUAA